rnacentral:rRNA from 1 species
CGGCGGACGGGUGGGUAAUGUAUGGGGAUCUGCCUGAUGGCGGGGGAUAACUACUGGAAACGGUAGCUAAUACCGCAUAAUGUCUGCGGACCAAAGCGGGGGACCUCCGGGCCCCGCGCCAUCAGAUGAACCCAUAUGGGAUUAGCUAGUAGGUGAGGUAACGGCUUACCUAGGCGACGAUCCCUAGCUGGUCUGAGAGGAUGACCAGCCACACUGGAACUGAGACACGGUCCAG